AGUGAACGCUGGCGGUAGGCCUAACACAUGCAAGUCGAACGGCAGCACAGUAAGAGCUUGCUCUUACGGGUGGCGAGUGGCGGACGGGUGAGGAAUACAUCGGAAUCUACUUUUUCGUGGGGGAUAACGUAGGGAAACUUACGCUAAUACCGCAUACGACCUACGGGUGAAAGCAGGGGAUCUUCGGACCUUGCGCGAUUGAAUGAGCCGAUGUCGGAUUAGCUAGUUGGCGGGGUAAAGGCCCACCAAGGCGACGAUCCGUAGCUGGUCUGAGAGGAUGAUCAGCCACACUGGAACUGAGACAAGGUCCAGACUCCUACGGGAGGCAGGAGUGGGGAAUAUUGGACCAUGGGCGGAAGCCUGAUCCAGCCAUACCGCGUGGGUGAAGAAGGCCUUCGGGUUGUAAAGCCCUUUUGUUGGGAAAGAAAAGCAGCAGGUUAAUACCCCGCUGUUCUGACGGUACCCAAAGAAUAAGCACCGGCUAACUUCGUG
rnacentral:rRNA from 1 species